ACUAAUCACACAGUUAGAUGACAGGUAACACAAACUGAUCACACAGUUAGAUGACAGGUAACACAAACUGAUCACACAGUUAGAUGACAGGUAACACAAACUGAUCACACAGUUAGAUGACAGGUAACACAAACUGAUCACACAGUUAGAUGACAGGUAACACAAACUGAUCACACAGUUAGAUGACAGGUAACACAAACUGAUCACACAGUUAGAUGACAGGUAACACAAACUGAUCACACAGUUAGAUGACAGGUAACACAAACUGAUCACACAGUUAGAUGACAGGUAACACAAACUGAUCACACAGUUAGAUGACAGGUAACACAAACUGAUCACACAGUUAGAUGACAGGUAACACAAACUGAUCACACAGUUAGAUGACAGGUAACACAAACUGAUCACACAGUUAGAUGACAGGUAACACAAACUGAUCACACAGUUAGAUGACAGGUAACACAAACUGAUCACACAGUUAGAUGACAGGUAACACAAACUGAUCACACAGUUAGAUGACAGGUAACACAAACUGAUCACACAGUUAGAUGACAGGUAACACAAACUGAUCACACAGUUAGAUGACAGGUAACACAAACUGAUCACACAGUUAGAUGACAGGUAACACAAACUGAUCACACAGUUAGAUGACAGGUAACACAAACUGAUCACACAGUUAGAUGACAGGUAACACAAACUGAUCACACAGUUAGAUGACAGGUAACACAAACUGAGCACACAGU